rnacentral:rRNA from 1 species
CCAGCUCCAAUAGCGUAUAUUAAAGUUGUUGCAGUUAAAAAGCUCGUAGUUGAAAUUCUGAUUGUUCGGGUUUUUAGUCUUUAGACGGAAAUACCGACAGUCAUCCGCUUGCAAACAUAUGUUCGAUCUUCACCGGUUGACUAUGUGAGUAAGCAUUUUACCUUGAGAAAAACAGAGUGUUCCAGGCAGGUUUGUCCGGAAUGCAUUAGCAUGGAAUAAUAGAACAUGACUGAAGUCUAUUUAUUGGUUAAAGGCUUUAGUAAUGAUUAAUAGGAACAGUCGGGGGCAUUCGUACUCAGCAGUCAGAGGUGAAAUUCUAAGAUUUGCUGAAGACGAACUAAUGCGAAAGCAUUUGCCAAGGAUGUUUUCA